GUGAUAAAGAAGCUCUGUAGUGGAAGCACACACUGAUUCUGGACUUCUGCACUAUGGUUUUAUUUUGUCAGGAUGACCUCAAACCAGUAACCAUUACACAGUAAACGUUCAUUGCCCUGUCACUGAGAUCUACUCCCUAGUCAAUAGCCAGCUUGCCCGGUUUGUGUGAUACAGACAAAUAGCCCAGACAGCAUUUUAUACCUUAGAGUCGUCCUCCCCCUCCCCGACAGGCAAGCGACACAUUGAACCUGCCUUCAUAAGGAAGUGUCUUAUCUUGCUCUGUUUUUAUCAGUCAUAUGCUUUCAGAUGUGCCAGACAGGGGAAAAUGCACUGAAAUCAGCACGCAGGCUCCUGUUACAGCUGCGGCAAAAACUGAAUUGGUGAAUGCAACAUAUAGAAAGUCCCAAUGAUGUGACUUCUGAUGUUUUACAACCCAUGCUUUAGACUUGAGAGGCAUAAUCAUGUACAAAGCACUAUGGAGAUGCUUCACAUUAAGAAAAGCAUUCCCACACUGAAUGGCAGCUGCUGACAUUAAGGAGCAGGAGCUCUGCAGACUGUCAGUGUUAUACUGGGAUUGAGAUACGGUACUGGGCUAUGAUGUCACAGCAAAGUGACACACUCCCAAUCUAAGAAAUGAGACUUCUUCUCCCACCUGCUAAGAAAAAGAAGAAUUGCACAACAUGAAACACAUUUGGUUCUACAAUUUAACAUGGGGGAUUUUUAACAUAAGGCUCAUGCUGGAAAUAAUAAAAUGCAAAAUAAGAAAGUUUAAUAUGUUAUUUAAACUGCUGUUGGUUUCA